GGGAAUAGUAUGCCACUGUACACGAAUGUAAGUCAUAAUAUGAUUUUCAUUAUUGUUUGAUGAUUGGGUUGAUCUGACAAUAUCAAUGUUUUCAUUUCAGGAGGAAUUGNUUGCNUUUAGAAAGCAAUAUGUAGUUGAUUGGAUCUUGGACGACGAAAACAUAAGAUUACUGGAUGCGCUUUCGGUGUAUGGGUUGUUGUAGGAUAGUUGUCCUGUGUUCAAAUGUAGAGGGGUCCUUGUAAGAAACAUUAUUGUUUAUGGANACUAUGUAUUUUUAAUAUAUACAAACACAUUGUACAAAUUCUUAUAUGAAUAAGAAAUAUGAUUUCUACCUUGUUUAUGUUCAAUGCACAAGGAUGUUGUAAUCGUUAACGCG
rnacentral:lncRNA from 1 species